UACGUAGGUGGCAAGCGUUGUCCGGAAUUACUGGGUGUAAAGGGAGCGCAGGCGGGAAAGCAAGUCAGCUGUGAAAUCCAUGGGCUCAACCCAUGAACUGCAGUUGAAACUGUUUUUCUUGAGUGAAGUAGAGGUUGGCGGAAUUCCGAGUGUAGCGGUGAAAUGCGUAGAUAUUCGGAGGAACACCGGUGGCGAAGGCGGCCAACUGGGCUUUUACUGACGCUGAGGCUCGAAAGCGUGGGGAGCAA
rnacentral:rRNA from 1 species